GCAAACUUGGUCAUUUAGAGGAAGUAAAAGUCGUAACAAGGUUUCCGUAGGUGAACCUGCGGAAGGAUCAUUAUUGAGACUUAUCUCUUUAACUCUACUAAUUGACCUUUAUAGAGACUUUGAGUUCUCUGUUUAAGUCAUUAGUUGAUUCAAUAUACAUGGUAUUGUGUACAUCUUCUAAUGAACUGGUAGAUGUCUAACAUUAUAACUGCUUAAGUUUGUAUGUAACUUUAGAUAAACUAUCAAGACAUUAGUUAUAUAUACAUUUCAUUUUACUGAUAUCUUAAAUAUAUCAAAUUAAAACUUUCAACAAUGGAUCUCUUGGUUCUGGCAUCGAUGAAGAACGCAGC
rnacentral:misc_RNA from 1 species